rfam:Thioclava dalianensis strain DLFJ1-1 contig4, whole genome shotgun sequence.
GGGGACCUUAGGGGCCCUAUACCAAUCAUAGGCGGGGCAACUCGCCGCAAAGCAACGGAAGACAGAAA